UACGUAGGGGGGCAAGCGUUGUCCGGAAUCAUUGGGCGUAAAGCGCGCGUAGGCGGCCCGGUAAGUCCGUUGUGAAAGUCAAAGGCUCAACCUUUGAAAGCCGAUGGAUACUGCCGGGCUGGAGUCCGGAAGAGGCGAGUGGAAUUCCUGGUGUAGCGGUGGAAUGCGCAGAUAUCAGGAGGAACACCAAUAGCGAAGGCAGCUCGCUGGAACGGUACUGACGCUGAGGCGCGAAAGCGUGGGGAGCGAACAGG
rnacentral:rRNA from 1 species